AGACACACACCUCAGAAAGCAUUUUCCCAAGAAUACCCACGCAUUCAGUUCCCUUUCCAACCCAUUGAGCAUCAGUUUGAAGAAGCUUUGAUUUAGUGGAGUUUGACUAUCUGGUCAGAGAAUAAAGCUGGGACUUUAUCAAGACCACACAUCUUACCAUGCUCCAACAUCGCCUCUGCUAUCUGUUGUGUAAUCAUUCAGACCAUCCAACAAUAUGUUAUAUAUCUCUGUAACGUUACGUUUACACACAAAUUCAUUUGGUGAUCCUUCUCCAUUCACCCCUACUGUCAAGCAAACUCUAAAGGUAGAAGGAAGAUAAUUAUUAGGAUCAUAUAAUAUUUUUUUUAAAAAAACACUCGUGUAUUAACAAAUUUCUGCUUAACCCAAUAAAUAAUUAAAUAGCACAAUACCACCUAUUAAUCAAAAUGUAAGUAAUGCGUCUUACAAGUAAUCCUUGACUUAUGUCCAUUCAUUUAAUGAUGGUCCAGAGUUACAACAAUCACACUAUCCCUCCAGUCACAUGCGUGCUAUUUGGCACUUGGCAACCAACUCCCAUUUACGACUACAAUGAAGAUAGUUGCAGUAUUCUACAGUCAUGCGAUUGUGAUUGCAAGGGGCUUUCAACCAGCAAAGUCAAUGGGAGAAGCUGGAUUCACUUAACUAUAUGAUUGACUUAAUGAACACGUGAUUCACUUAACAACCAUGGUGAUUAACUUAAUUAUGUGAUAAAAAUGGUAAAAUCUGGUCGAGUCACAUGACACGUCACUUAACAACCACAUCACUUAACAACUGAAAUUCUGGACCCAGUUGUGGUUAUUAAGGCAAGGACUACCUGUACUUGAUAUUAUAAAACUUUAGUCUACAUACACACAGACAAUUAGUUUUGGUAUUACAUCCUUAUUAUGUAGAAUUAACUACAGAUUGGGGAGGGGAAGGCUGGGGGAACAUGAUUGUCAUAUUUUCCUAGCCAAGUUUUUUUUUCAUACCUAAUGACAUAGAAAAAGACCAGAGUACAGUGGGAAAUUUAGAGGUAAUUAUUCUAUCAACAGUUCAGCUUGCUCCUGAGUGACAAGUUGUUCAGCUGUUUUACAUAAAAAAGUGAUGUUUUACUAGUCCCUUAGGUCUUACGAUCUCUAACGGGUUGAAAGUUACAGCACAUACAAGUACUCUUGCCAUUUACACUGGAUAUUUAACAAAGCAGUAAGCAAUUUCUUCUGCUAAUAAGUUGUCACUGGAAGCAUAGCAGGGAGUUCUGGAGAAAAUCCCACUGGCAAAGAUUAUCGCUUGUUUGAGAUGCACGAUUUCAAUUGUCAUUUUCUAUGUAUCAUGUUACAGGGCCUGCUUUUUACAGGGUUUUUCCCCACACAGAAUUCAUUCUACAUAGUUUAUACCAGUGCUUCCCAAACCAUGAGGUGUACCUCUCUUGGGGAAGUACAGAGUCCAGGGGAGGUGUGAAGAGUCUUUUAAUUUAUUUAUUAAAUUUAUAUGCCGCCCAUCUCAUUAUUGAGCAACUGGGGUGGCUUACAAAAUGUUAAAAAGUUGUACAUAGCUGUACAUUGUUACAAUAAAUUCACCUUUCCCAAAG